rnacentral:lncRNA from 1 species
UUCGCCGUUUUGAUCCACCGAUUUUUUAUGGCAGUUACACUGAGGCCUGGGUUGUUGAGCGAUGGGUCAGUGCGAUGGAGAAGUUAUUUGAGGAUCUGUUCAUUUCUGAGGGGGAGCAGGUGUCUUUGGGAGUUCAUUGCUUUGUAGGUGAUGCCCACGCCUGGUGGAGGAGAGUGAGAAGAGAGCAGGGACUGGUAGCGUUGCAGUUGAGAUGGGAUGAGUUCUGUGGAAUGCUGUUUGGGAUAUUCUUUUCCAACAGUGUGAAACAGAAGCUCGAGGAGGAUUUGAAGAGGAAUCAGCAGGGG